UGUAAAUUAGUAAAUAAUGUAAUUUUACAUUAUAAUUAGAAUUAAAGUAUUAGUAAUUUAUUUUUGUUACUAAAAUUAAAUUCAGUUUGUUCCUGCAUAAAUCUUUUUAGUACUAAACUGCUUUGGAAUGAUUUUUUUUGGGGAACAACAGCAGGAUUAGGGCCAUGUUCUAGAUGCCAUCAGGUAGGUGCGCUAGCGUAGUCGUUUGUUGUAGCAUUAUAUCCCUUUUCCCCCUUUUUAAAAAAUGUUUGUAAGACGCCUGAAAUUUGUAUAAGUUAGUUAUAUAAGUAGUUGAAUAAGAAUUGGUGAGACUUGGAAAAUAGAAGAGGGCAGAGAAGAUGGAAGAGGAUUGCUUUGAAAUAGAAGGAAAGGAGAUAGAAGAUGUUUGAGGAAAGGAGGAGGAUUUUGUUCACUGUAACGAAAGUUUUUUGAAUGAAAUUUGGAGCAACUGUAUCAAGAUGUUAUUGGUAUCUUGGACAUCAAGUUUCAUUUAUUUAUGUAUUAA